UAAUACGGGGGGAGCAAGCGUUGUUCGGAUUUACUGGGCGUAAAGGGCGCGUAGGCGGCCACGACAAGUCACUUGUGAAAUCUCCGGGCUUAACUCGGAACGGUCAAGUGAUACUGUCGGGCUAGAGUGCAGAAGGGGCAACUGGAAUUCUCGGUGUAGCGGUGAAAUGCGUAGAUAUCGAGAGGAACACCUGCGGCGAAGGCGGGUUGCUGGGCUGACACUGACGCUGAGGCGCGAAAGCCAGGGGAGCGAACGGGAUUAGAUACCCCGGUAGUCCUGGCCUUAAACGAUGAAUGCUUGGUGUCUCGGGUUACAUAGUCCCGGGGUGCCGUCGCUAACGCUUUUAGCAUUCCGCCUGGGGAGUACGGUCGCAAGACUG
rnacentral:rRNA from 1 species